rnacentral:sRNA from 1 species
UUUCUCAUUGCAUCCUCGCGACUAAUGACAAUCCUUAUCCCUCGGAUAAAGCCUCUCAUUAGCCGCGCGAACCUCAGCAAUGGAAUAAUUUACUUCAGCAAUAGCUGAUGAUCAUCAAUUACUAUUGCACCCUAGAAGAAAGGGGCCACAAAAGGCCCCUUUCU